GAGAAGGAUCAGGCGAGAACGCUUAUGUGAGAACAUUACAUGAGAACACCAUUGGAUCUAAUCUAACGGCUACAUGGAAAGCAAUUGUAAGUGUAAGUAUUGUAUUAGAACGAGGCCUUCUUCUCUCUCCUCCCUCCAAAAUGUUCAGUCGAAAACGGACGUCCCCUCCAAAAUAGAAGUCCCCUCUAAUCCAGCUAUUCGGUUUGUUCAAUUAGGUGGCCAAUUUUUUUUAUCAACUUUGAUUGAGCAAGACCAAUAACACUGAAAAGAGAGCGCCCAUGUUAUUCCUUAUUCAAUUCAAGGAAGAACACAAAAGUAUAGCCCUCAUUUUUCUGGGUUUCUCAUUCAGGCAAAACAAAGUAUUCGUGUAUUUUAUACUAUCAUCUUUGUGGUUCGGUCUUUCUGGUCGGAACAUUCGUCAAUCCUUGAGUAAUGUCUUCAGUUGGAAACUGGUGACCGCGACCGUUGUGUUGUUCUCUUGGUUU
rnacentral:lncRNA from 1 species